AUGACUCUCAGAGCCCGAGUUACUCAAUCCAAACCAAAAUGGCAUCUAUCAAGAAAAGAAAAGCUCCGUGAAUACCAAGCACUCGAGCCGAGCCGAGGCUCGAACAUCGGUGGGCUGGAUGUGAACUCCUCCGUCUCCCCAACUGAGCUACACUCCAUUCUCUGCUCGGUCAAGUCUCGUCGCCUGCGCUACGGCUCCCGAGGCACCGCUCUUCUCGUCUCCUCUCUCUCGCUCUCCAAACUGAGCCCAUACCAACUUGAUCUUGAUUCGCAGAUCAAAGACUUAGAACUAGCUUGCUUUGAGAAAGAGUUUACCAAUCUUCCUCCUCUAAUCUUAAUGGCCACUCAACUCCGCCGCGGCAACAUACGGCUCGUCGAGUGUUUGCUGGAAGCCGGAGCAGAUCCAAACAUUACUGAUGAACUUGGUAGGUUGCCGACAGAAAUCGCCGCGGUCCACGCCGAAAGGAAAGUCGUUCGAGCUCUGUUUCCUGUGACUCAGCGCCCCCCAACUGUGCUUGGUCGGAGUGUUGCUAGCAUAGUGAGACGUGUAAAAUCUGCUUCUUACAGGGAGCGGAUGAUGAAGGAAAUCACUUACCAGAUGAUCAAGCUGGAUUGUAAGAGGAAAGAUGAAAUAAAACUACAAGGAAAAAAGGCGUUUGAAAUCAAGGACUACGAUGCGUCGAUUCUUCUGUACAGCAUGAUAACCUCUCUUUGGCCAUUGAUUGUUCUUGCACUGAAGCUCGACGACACGGAUACCACCUUAUACUCAAACAGGAGCAUAUGUCAGCUGCACCUUGGUGAAGGCAACGAGGCUCUUUCAGACUCACAGGCCCGCACCAGGGAUUACGGCAGUGCUUGUGCCGCGUUUAGCAAGGCAUUGGAGCUUGAUCCGGGGAAUCCGAUCAUCAUCAACGCCCUCCGCCUUUUGCCCGGUCCGGAUGACGGGUGGUGCAGCCCUGAGUGA
rnacentral:rRNA from 1 species